rnacentral:lncRNA from 1 species
AUUUUAUAGGUUGUGGAUUAUCCUCCUAUAAACCAAUAUUGCUUCUUAUAGGGUCAUUUUUGUCCUUCUUUUAGAAUGGUCGGAGGUCAAGACAUUAGUAUGACAGAAAGUUCGGAGUCUAAGUUAGAUGCUAUUAUGAAUGCCCUCGCUACGUUAUCACAAAGAACUGCAGAGAUUAAAGGAGUAGUGGCAAGGCUUCAUAAUGAUGGAGUAUCUGGGAUAGUACAAUCUAAACUACACCAGCCUCAAACUUCGACCCUUGGAGAAACAACUUUAUCUCAAGUUCGACAAGAACCACUAGUUCUACAACAUAAGGAGCGUCGAGUUAGCCUUCUAGAUAAGUUUGAUGGAACACGUUCCAAGUUUCGAUGAUUAGUCAAUCAAAUCAG